AUAAAGAGAGAGGCACUAUGGGUAAGCUUAGCUUGAGAGUUUUUGGCUGGUGCGAUCUUGUUAUAACGACCAAGUCAGUUCUGAGGACGGAACCGUUACCCAUUCAUCAUGAAUGAAUGAAGAUCAACACAGAUGGCACGUUAUGCAUUCUGGUUGGUCUGGUGGUUCCGGAAGUGAAAGGAAGGUUCAAAGGUCAAUUUUAACUUCUUCCAAGAUGUUGCAGCCAUUCCCAUCCGAAGAUGAAGCUUUGUGUAGAAAUUGCAAGUUCGAGACGGUUUCCAAAAGUUUCCAGUUUAAGAUCCAAGGAAUGAAGGCAGGAAUACUGCAGUAAAUGUGCAGCUUUAGGCGAAAAAGAUAUGUUAUAAUGUCCAUGUUUAUCACAAACAGCUUUUUCUGAUGUAAAACAGCAAAGUUAGUGGUAAAAGGUUCCAGGCAGUCAAAAACAACCAUAUUAUGCAAGUUUCACUUUAAAACAGACCAUAUAGAAUACCCACUAUAGCAGAUAUCACCAAGUUAAACAGACAGUAUUUAAUAAAAUAAUCAAAUCAAGUGUAACAAAAGGUUAUAGAGCUUCUCACAAAUGCAAAGUAGAAUAUGCUGAGGUACAAUUUUAUGAAUAAGAUAUUGUACUUAUACAAGA